rnacentral:rRNA from 1 species
UUGAACGCUGGCGGCAGGCCUAACACAUGCAAGUCGAACGGUAACAGGAAGCAGCUUGCUGCUUUGCUGACGAGUGGCGGACGGGUGAGUAAUGUCUGGGAAACUGCCCGAUGGGGGGGGAUAACUACUGGAAACGGUAGCUAAUACCGCAUAACGUCGCAAGACCAAAGAGGGGGACCUUCGGGCCUCUUGCCAUCGGAUGUGCCCAGAUGGGAUUAGCUUGUUGGUGAGGUAACGGCUCACCAAGGCGACGAUCCCUAGCUGGUCUGAGAGGAUGACCAGCCACACUGGAACUGAGACACGGUCCAGACUCCUACGGGAGGCAGCAGUGGGGAAUAUUGCACAAUGGGCGCAAGCCUGAUGCAGCCAUGCCGCGUGUAUGAAGAAGGCCUUCGGGUUGUAAAGUACUUUCAGCGGGGAGGAAGGGGUUAAGGUUAAUAACCUUAGUCAUUGACGUUACCCGCAGAAGAAGCACCGGCUAACUCCGUGCCAGCAGCCGCGGUAAUACGGAGGGUGCAAGCGUUAAUCGGAAUUACUGGGCGUAAAGCGCACGCAGGCGGUCUGUCAAGUCGGAUGUGAAAUCCCCGGGCUCAACCUGGGAACUGCAUUCGAAACUGGCAGGCUUGAGUCUCGUAGAGGGGGGUAGAAUUCCAGGUGUAGCGUGAAAUGCGUAAGAGAUCUGGAGGAUACCGGUGGCGAAGCGCCCCCUGGACGAAGACUGACGCUCAGUGCGAAAGCGUGGGAGCAGCAGAUAGAUACCUGGUAGUCCACGCGUAAACGAUGUCUUAUUGGAGGUGUGCCCUGAGGCGUGGCUCGGAGCUAACGCGUUAAAUAGACCGCUGGGGAGUACGGCCGCAAGGUUAAAACUCAAAUGAAUUGACGGGGGCCCGCACAAGCGGUGGAGCAUGUGGUUUAAUUCGAUGCAACGCGAAGACCUUUACCUGGUCUUGACAUCCACAGAAUUUCUCAGAGAUGAGGAAGUGCCUUCGGGAACUGUGAGACAGGUGCUGCAUGGCUGUCGUCAGCUCGUGUUGUGAAAUGUUGGGUUAAGUCCCGCAACGAGCGCAACCCUUAUCCUUUGUUGCCAGCGAUUCGGUCGGGAACUCAAAGGAGACUGCCAGUGAUAAACUGGAGGAAGGUGGGGAUGACGUCAAGUCAUCAUGGCCCUUACGACCAGGGCUACACACGUGCUACAAUGGCAUAUACAAAGAGAAGCGACCUCGCGAGAGCAAGCGGACCUCAUAAAGUAUGUCGUAGUCCGGAUUGGAGUCUGCAACUCGACUCCAUGAAGUCGGAAUCGCUAGUAAUCGUGGAUCAGAAUGCCACGGUGAAUACGUUCCCGGGCCUUGUACACACCGCCCGUCACACCAUGGGAGUGGGUUGCAAAAGAAGUAGGUAGCUUAACCUUCGGGAGGGCGCUUACCACUUUG